rnacentral:rRNA from 1 species
UACGUAGGGUGCGAGCGUUGUCCGGAAUUAUUGGGCGUAAAGAGCUCGUAGGCGGUGUGUCGCGUCGUCCGUGAAAACCUGCGGCUCAACUGCAGGCUGGCGGUCGAUACGGGCAGGCUGGAGUUCGGUAGGGGAGACUGGAAUUCCUGGUGUAGCGGUGAAAUGCGCAGAUAUCAGGAGGAACACCGGUGGCGAAGGCGGGUCUCUGGGCAGUAACUGACGCUGAGGAGCGAAAGCGUGGGGAGCGAACAGG